GAUGAAGAACGCAGCGAAAUGCGAUAAGUAGUGUGAAUUGCAGAAUUCAGUGAAUCAUCGAAUCUUUGAACGCACAUUGCGCCCCUUGGUAUUCCGAGGGGCAUGCCUGUUCGAGCGUCAUUUCAACCCUCAAGCACAGCUUGGUCUUGGGCUUCGCCGCUAACCCGGCGGGUCUUAAAAUCAGUGGCGGUGCCGUCGGGCCCUGAGCGCAGUAAUUUCUCUCGCUAUAGGGUCCCGGCGGAUGCUGGCCAGUAACCCCCAAUUUUCUAUGGUUGACCUCGGAUCAGGUAGGGAUACCCGCUGAACUUAAGCAUAUCAAUAAGCGGAGGA
rnacentral:misc_RNA from 1 species